rnacentral:rRNA from 1 species
CACGUAGGCAGUCGUGUAAGUGCGGUGUGAAAUCCCCCGGCCCAACCGGGGAACUGCUCCGCAUACUGCACGGCUAGAGCUUGGGAGGGGAGAGUGGAACUCCUGGUGGAGCGGUGGAAUGCGUAGAUAUCAGGAGGAACGCCGGAGGUGAAGACGACUCUCUGGCCCAAUGCUGACGCUAAGGUGAAGCAGGGAGCAAACG